CAAAGUCAUACGAUAACUUUCCAUCGAGCGGAGCAUUGAUCAGUGCUGGCUUUCAGGUAUCGGCCACCGUUAGCCGACCUAUGGACGCAGACUCCACAGCGACGAGGUCGUGCGACGAAAUGACCGAACCAUCGG